rnacentral:misc_RNA from 1 species
AAAUGCGAUAAGUAAUGUGAAUUGCAGAAUUCAGUGAAUCAUCGAAUCUUUGAACGCACAUUGCGCCCGCCAGUAUUCUGGUGGGCAUGCCUGUCCGAGCGUCAUUUCAACCAUCAAGCCCCCGGGCUUGUGUUGGGGACCUGCGGCUGCCCGCAGGCCCUGAAAACCAGUGGCGGGCUCGCUGUCACACCGAGCGUAGUAGCAAUCACCUCGCUCAGGGCGUGCUGCGGGUUCCGGCCGUUAAACAGCCUUACAAAACCCAAGGUUGACCUCGGAUCAGGUAGGAAGACCCGCUGAACUUAAGC